UACGUAGGUGGCAAGCGUUAUCCGGAAUUACUGGGCGUAAAGCGCACGCAGGCGGUCUUUUAAGUUUGACGUGAAAGCUCCCGGCUUAACUGGGAGAGGUCGUUGAAGACUGGAAGACUUGAGGCAAUGAGAGGGGUGUAGAAUUCCCGGUGUAGUGGUGGAAUGCGUAGAUAUCGAGAGGAACACCAGUGGCGAAGGCGAGUCCCUGGACAACGACUGACACUGAGGCACGAAAGCUAGGGGAGCAAACAGG
rnacentral:rRNA from 1 species